AUUGAACGCUGGCGGCGGGCCUAACACAUGCAAGUCGAACGAGUGGCGGACGGGUGAGUAACGUGUGGGAAACCCGCUGAUGGAGGGGGAUAACUAGUGGGAACGGGAGAUAAACACGCAUACCAUAGGAGGUGCCCAGAUGGGAUUAGGCAGUAGGUGGGGUAACGGCUCACAUAGGCGAAGAUCCCUAGCUGGUCUGAGAGGAGGACCAGCCACACGGGAACGGAGAAACGGCCCAGACUCCUACGGGAGGCAGCAGUGGGGAAUAUUGCACAAGGGGCGCAAGCCUGAGGCAGCCAUGCCGCGUGUAUGAAGAAGGCCUUCGGUUUGUAAAGUACUUUCAGCGGGGCGGCGUUACCCGCAGAAGAAGCACCGGCUAACUUCGUGCCAGCAGCCGCGGUAAUAC
rnacentral:rRNA from 1 species